CCGCACUUUUACUCUAUUUUUUAUUCAUUCUGCGAUGGCGCGUCUAUCAUACCAUAGAUCCGAGUAUAUCUCCUCGUAAAGUGUAUAAAAUGUCCGCGAAAAACGAAUACCCAAUUCGCAAUGUUUCAGGCGAACUCGCGUGUUGAAAAAUUCACGGUCGUGACUUUCUUAUUGAUGCACCAGGAUGCACCGAGUUGGCCGAAGUUGGCACUAUGCCAAGAAAAAUGCAGAUGUUGAAGAUCUCCAACAAAAUCUGAAUGCAAUAUGAAAGAUACACCCGGAUUUACUCGACCUGAAAUUUAUCAGAAAAAAUUGACGAAGCGUUCAAUAUAGAAAACGAACACCGUCAAAAAACGAACGAUUUAUGUCCAAAGAAGAAUUAUUUAUCGCAGUUUUACAACACCUACAGAGCAUCAUCUAAAUCAAACCCUCAUCCAUAAAGUACAGAUUGCGAUUUUCCAAGCUUUCGGUUCCGCGGUAAAAUUAUGCAUUAUUGAUAGAAUAAUAAGCUAAGGGUAAAGUAGUUCAUUAUGGCCUAUACUGCCAAAUACUUACAGUACUAACAGCUGGCCGGGAACAAACUUGAUUUGGUGUAUUUUCCACAGAAAAACACAAUCAGACCAAAAUCAAAGCCCUUUGAAAUUCGCGAUGUUAGGGGGAAAAACGAAAAUAAUGUUAUGUUCAUUUUAUAUUAAGAAGGCCUGACAAUGAUCAAAGCAAUGUAAUACUUAUUGAAGUACUUAUUCAAGGUACAUACUUACGUUUAGUUCUGAUUUUUCAAAAAUCAAAAUUACAGGGUGGCCAAAUAUGGAUCACUUGUAUAUUUGCUAUGGGUUUGAAAGUUUCAAGUUAAUGUGGUCCAUAUAUUAUUAGGGACCCAAAAUUGACCUUUUUUCAGGAAAAAAUUCAUUUGACCCGCUUAGAAUUUGCUCUCAUUGUCUUGAUUAAUCACAUUUCAACGUUGUUUCAGCAAUUAAACAAAUUUUUACAACAUUGUAGCGCUUUUUUUUUGAACUUUUGAAGUGAUCCAUAUUAGGAACCCUAUAAAUUUACUUUUCGAUUUUUGACACUUUUCACAAAACAAUUCGUAUUUGACCCACUAGAAGUUUUAAAAAAAAAUUUCGCAUUUGGAAUGUGAUAUGUUUGUAGAUGUACUACUUAUGUACCUAUUGUAGACAAAUGAAGGUAAAUUUUAAGCUACUUAUUAACGAAAUUUUUAGCUCAAUUACAGUGUCCACGACAUUCAAAAACAAAAAUUCGGUUCAUAUUCGGCUAGGUACCUUAUGGUUAUUUCUUCGAAAAAUAUUAGAAUAGCAACAAGGUCACUAUUGUGGUACUCCGACUUCUGUAUGAUGUACUCGUAUGAAAGGUUGGAAUCCUAACACACUUGCUCUAUAAGUGACUUUUCAAAUUUUGUUUGUGCUUUAGUUACUCGUACUUAAGAAAGUUAAAUAAUUCCUUACCUACUUCUUUCAAGCAACAAGGUCACUUUUGCGGUACUCCAACAUCUGUUUGAUUUAUGAAAGGUUGGAAUCCUAACACACUUACUCUAUAAGUGACUAUUCAAAUUUUGUUUGUGCUUUAGUUACUCGUACUUAAGAAAGUUAAAUAAUUCCUUUCCUAUUGAGGUAGAAUCUGUCCAUUAUUUGGUAAGAUCGUGAAAGUUCUGUUGCAGUUUUAUCGAGGUAUUCGCGUACCUCGUUCAAAACCUGUGUUUACAGUCCGAUGGUAUUAAAAAAAUUUUUCGAGAGCGCGGCCACGGCAUUCAAAAACAAAAAUGUGGUCCAUAUUAGGCUACCCUGUGGGCACGUUUGGCACUCAGGACGCAAUGCCAGCGAAAAAGUGCCAAAAUCUGACACUAAGUGUCAGAUUUUGGCACUGGAGUGUCAGGCAUUGGCACUCAGUGUCAGAUUUUGACACUGGAGUGUCAGGCACUGGCACUCGGUGUCGAAUUUUGACAUUGGAGUGUCAUGUGUCGGCACUCGAGUGUCAGGCACUGGCACUCAGUGUCAGAUCUUGACACUGGAGUGUCAGGUGACGACACUCAAGUGUCAGGCAUUGGCACUCCAGUGUAAAAUGUUGGCACUGGAGAAAUUUUUCAAAACACAAGUCUCAGUUUUUUAGUUUUAAACAACAAAAACUUUUUUUGUUGUUUAAAACUUUGAUUGAACAUUAAAAAUAAAAAAUUCGCAAAAUUUCAGAUUUUUUAAAAAUUGAAUUUUAAUUUAAAAUUGACUUCAAAAAACUGUUAUGCACCAAAAGUUUGAAAUCAAGUUUGUUGGUAGAGUGGUUUAAUUAUAACCUUAAAAUCCAUUAGCACUUUCAUAGUUCUGUUGAGAGAUUGGAAAUUUUCAAAUCUAUUUUUGGAUAAAUUUGUAUUUUGAGAAUUGUUUCUUCGCAGACAUUUCGCAUUAAUUAGGUUCAUUUAUGUUAAAACAUUGAAACGCUUAUUCCUAAAACUGCGGAUAUAUAAGGGGUGUUCAAUAAAGACUGAGAGUGGUGUGCCGAAAGAUCGACUCCGAAUCUCAAAUUCCAUGUUUUGGAACAAGACAAUUUUUUCCAAAACAGGUUGGGUAGGGGCCAGAGCAGAAAACCCAAGAUUUUUUGAAUAUUCUCACUCUUUGAUGACCAAUAUCCAUUCUUCAGGGGAACCUCCAAAACUGAAAGUUUUUCUGAGUGAAUUUCAACUUAAAAUGGAGGUCUCCGCUGAAUUUUCUCAAAAUCUUCCAAAUUUUUUUCGCGAUCCAUCCAAAAGAACAUACUUAUACAGUUAUACUAGUACCUACAUAAUAAGAAAUACAAGUUUUAAAAUUUCUUCAAUGUGUAAUUAUUUUCUUUUCAAAAAAAGAACAGGCGCUUUUCCAACAAAUAAAAAUUCGUUUUUUUCAAUAAGCUAUUUAAAAUUUUUAAGCCUUACACUUGAAAUUUUUUUUGAGAAAAAAAUCCAGAUUUCACCAUUUCCAGCCAUUCUGGAGCCUCCAGCGCGAUUUUCAAUUUUUCCAGAAUUUUGAAUUUGCUUCAGAAGGCGUGAAUAUGCAGUUAGGUAGCUAAAAAUCGAGUUGUAUAUUACACUCGACCUGUUUAACGAGUUUAUCCACAUUUGAGCCGAUUUUGAGAGUGACACCUCAAGAGUGGCUUUUUGACCAGCUUUUUUCAAAAUUGAAAAUUCCAAAAAAUCCAAAAAUAACCGUUUGUGAAGAAAUUUUUGAAAUUUACGCGAAUCGCUGUAUUUCUUCAAGAACUAACCCUGGGAGCGCAAAAUCUACCAUUUCCAGUCGUUUUGGAGCGAGAGUGACACCUCAAAAAACCACUUUUGAGGUGUCAGUCUCAAAAUCGGCUCAAAUGUGGAUAAACUCGUUAAACAGGUCAAGUGUAAUAUAAAACGCGAUUUUUAGCUGCCAAACUUCAUAUUGACGCCUUCUGGAGCAUAUUCAAAAUUCUGGAGAAAUUGAAAAACGCGCUGGAGGCUCCAGAAUGGCUGGAAAUUGUGAAAUUUGGAUUUGGGGGUUAGUUACAUACAAAAUACAGCGAUUCGCGCCAAUUUCAAAAAUUUCCUCACAAACUAUCACUUUUUGAUUUUUUUGAUUUUUUAAUUUUGAAAAAAGGUGGUCAAAAAGCCACUUUCUUUUGAGGUGUCCCUCUCAAAAUCGGCUCAAAUGUGGACAAACUCGUUAAACGGGUCGAGUGUAAUAUACAACUCGAUUUUUAGCUGCCCAACUUUAUAUUCACGCCUUCUGAAGUUAAUUCAAAAUUCUGGAGAAAUUGAAAAAUCACGCUGGAGGCUCCAGAAUGGUUGGAAAUGGUGAAAUUUGGAUUUGGGUAAUUAAAAUUAGUUUUGGGACUUAUUCUGACCAUUUUUAUUGAUCAAGUACGUAUUUUUUUAAAAAAAGCAUGAAUCGCCAAAAACAGUAAAUUUUGAAUUUUCUGAAAUUUGCCAAAAAUCGAAAAAUGAACUUGGACAGCUGAAAAUUUGGUUUUUGAGUCCCGAACUGUUUUCAGUUUUCUAUUUUGGGUAUUGAAUCAUUCCAGAGCGAAUAUUUUCGAAAAUCUAGAUUUGCGUGUGAGUUUCAAAUUUUGAUUUCAUUCAAAAAUCAAAACUUCGAAAAUGGAACUCGAUUAGCAUUAUCAAAAAUUUUUUAUUUCAUUUUUUUUUGAAUAGGAGAAAAAUUUGCGUUGAAACCUAUUGCCACUUUUUCCUAAUAAGCUCCAUGUGAAUGCUUCUAUCUCACAAAAUAUUUUUUUCAACUAAUAAAAAUUCUUUUUUUUUGAAAAAAUAUUUCAAAUUUUAGGUCUGUACCCUUGAAAAAUUUUCAUUGAGAAAAAAAACGAAAAAUUGGGAUCCCUUUUUUAAAAAACAAUAUUGUAAAAAUCGUGUUUUUUAUCAGGAAAAAAUUGAAAAUUGGAAUGGAAUAAAUUUAAAAAUUUCUCCAGUAGAAUAUGCUUAGAGCAUAUAGCUAUUAGAGGAAUCAAGGUAUAGGAAUUUACUCUCGUUUCCCGGCCGAACAUCUGAUUGUAGUAAAUUGUAGGAGGAGCUUAAUAGAGGGAUCAGAAUUUGAAUGCGCAUGUCUCAGCUGGCCAAAAAAUUCAAAUUUUUCACAGAAAAUGAUAAAGUGGCAAGUGGCUGCAUAUUAUUGCUCGUUUACGGAAUCUGUAAACGAGCAAUAAUAUGCGGCCUCUGCAUACUGACGCUUGCGCAAAUGCGAUCUGAUCCCUCUAUAAUUUUUCGAUCUUUGGCCGGCGAAUUCUCCAUUAUCAAUUCCUCUAUAUCACGUCAGUAUAGCUAUAUGCUCUAAGAGAAUAUGUAAUAAAUAAUAAUUUCAGAGAAAAAAAAAUCUUCAAUAAAUAAUUACUAGUGCCUAAAAAAUCCAGUGAUGCCAGCUCAAAAUGAAUGAGCAAUCAACUAACAGUCACUUUAGCAUACAUAAAUUAUGUCUCACGCGGUGGCGUAAUCGGUAAAGCAACGGACUGUCACGCAAGGAACCCAGGUUCGAGUCCAGCCGGAGCCGAAAAAUUUCAUGAAAAAAAAAGCGGGAAAAUAGGUAAACGAAAAUGACUACAAUCAACGACUCUCUACCCGGGCAACAUUGCUUCGAAAAUUGCUAGAAUCGGCAAUAAAAAACUUCCUCAUUAUUUUUCCUCGCUGGCACUGGCACUGGCACUGGCACCGAAAAUUUGCAUUGCGUCUCAGUCUCACAUUGACGCAAUGUAUCAGUUCUCAGUGCCAGUGGCACUGACACUGGCACUCUGACACCAUGACACUGGCACUAAAAAUUGGCAUUGCGUCCCAGUCUCAAUUUGACGCAAUGUUAAAUACUGGCACUAAAGUGCCAAACGUGCCCACAGGGAUACCUUAUGCUUAUUUCUUCAAAAAAUAUUAUGAAUAGUAGGGUCAUUCCUCGUCAAUUCGACCAAGAAGUGAUAAGGGGGGAGGGUCAGCGAUUUUUUUGAAAUUUUUCCUGUGGAAAGACCUUCCAAAGGAAUGACAAAUGGCGCAAAUCGUAGCCCUCUAGCCCUUUUUUAAAGGCUUCCAGGGGAUGUCACAUUUUUCAGUGAACUUGAAAUAUCAUCCAUUUCAGCAGUGGAUUACUCGAUAACCGCGAUAGAUACCUGCCAAAAUGGAACUUUUUCCAAUAGUAAGGGAUUUUGAAAGACUUUUUGUUGAUAUCAUAAAAAUCAGUGUUGCCAAUAUUUUCCGUACCAAAAAUUAGCUCGAAAAGUUUCAAAACAUAGUUUUCAUAUCGUUCCGACUCUCAAAAAUUCUAAAAAAAAUAUAUUAUGGACAAACUUUUCAUGCUGAUCAACAUAUCGAAAAAUUGAGAUGGCAUUAUUUCGUAAAGUUGAUUUUAAAAAAUUGAAAGUUUGCAAAAAAAUGGCGAUUUUUUUAUUUAAAACAUGAAAACAAGUUUUGACUGGUGAAGUUGACCCCUUUGACCUCAAUUUCUACGUAUACGUUGAAGAAGUUGAAAAAGCCCCUUUCACUCAAUGAAAUAAACUCAUCCCAAAAAAUCAAAAUCUGAAAAAAUGUUAAAAAUGAACGAAUUUUAAUUUUUUUGCUAUGAGUGUGAUUUUUAUCAACUUUUUAAUGAAAUACGUCAGAAAGAGGUCAAAUAAGAUAACUGAAAAAAUUUAAACUUUUUUUGAAGUUUGUAAAAUGAAAAUUAGAUUUUUUCGAUUUUUGAUUUUUUUGUGAUGAGUUUAUUUCAUCGAGUGAUAGGAUUUUUCAACUUAUUAUACAUAAGAAUAGGGGUCAAAUGGGUCAACUUGAUAGAGUGAGAUCUGGCAUCAGUGGCGUAGCCAAGGGGGGGCGAAUGGCCCCCCCUUGAGAGCGAAAAUUUGAAAGAAAACAUGCAAAAAUGGACGUUUUUUCGUUGUUUGGACCCAUUUUUUCCAAAAAUUUUCGCUCUCGCUUCGCUCGAGCAGUAAUUUUGCCUUCAUUUUCAUGAAAUCACCACACAUUACAAUAGAUUUCCAGAAAAUUACCCCUCAUUUCGAUUUUUCAGGCCUAAAAAUCUGAUUUUGCCCCCUCCUUGAGAAAAUCCUAGCUACGCCACUGUCUGGCAUAACUUGGUAAGAGAGAAAUUACCUGAAUUCCUACCUACGUGAUGAAGUUAAGAAAUAUUCCCUUACGUAGGGAAUAUUAACCUUGCCUGGAUAGCUCAAUACAUCGGAGAGAUUUCAGUCAUACAGCUCAUUCUUCACAGCAAUAAUCUCUCACCACCAAUAAAAGUCAUAUUAUAUACACGAAAGUGCCAAUAAGUUUAUUGUUAGUCAGAAAUAAUAAUAUCAAAUACACAUUAAAAAGGGUACAAAAGUCAUAGAGUAUAGAAUAACUGUAGGGUUAUUCCAUAAUAGGUACCUGGUACAUGCACAAACUUAUACCUUACGACGCGUGUUAAUGAAUUAAGGAAGGUGGGUAAUUAAGUACCCUAGAAAUUGCAUGCAAUUUCGGAAUAUUGGUGAAACUUACUCACCAGGCUCGCAUAAUGUCCAAUUUUACUGUCUCUUUCGGGGUGGCUCACUAACAGUGAUGGCAGCGUUCUUUUUUGAAAGAACGCGAACGUGAACGCGUUCUUUUCAAAAGAACGCGAACGGCGUUCGUUUUGAUUGAACGCAAAUUUCAAAGUUUGAAACAUUUUUCAGGCAAAUUUUGCAUUUUCAUUGAAAAAAAGGGGUAAAGUAUAGAAUUUUCACCCCUUUUUAGUUAUUUUUCAAUAAAAAUGCAAAAAUUGCGUUUAGAAUAGGCCUAGGAUGUCACUGUUACUUGCUGCAAUUCAUUAAUCAUUGUCUCCCGAAUCAUGCAUUUGCGUUCUCGUUCGUGAACGACAUACGUUCGCGAUCGCGUUCUCAAACGCUGUUCGCGAACGCGUUCUUUUUAGAUGAACGUGAACGCGAACGCGAACGCCGUUCAUUUCAAAUGAACGCGAACGCCGUUCAUUUCAAAUGAACGCGAACGCCGUUCAUUUCAAAUGAACGCGAACGCGAACGCCGUUCAAAUUUUUGCGAACGCUGCCAUCACUGCUCACUAAUACUAGGCCAGUCGACAGCAAUGUAAUACAUGAGGUACCUAUUCUGCGAGAAGUAUCACCGAUGGCCAGCAUAAUCGGAUGAUACCCAAUAAGAACGUGAUUAAAUUCGAUCGAUAAUUUAAAUCACGAAAACGAAUAACAUUUUAACCACUAAAUAAGUGGGUGAUUCCUAAAUAAAAGUGGAUGAGUGUCCCAGUAAGGGGACCUCAUCUACUCGCAUCUACAUAAGUACACUUUUUGACCAAGAACUAACCUUCGCGACGAGCUAAUUCAAGUUCAACUUAUUUAAAAUGCAACUUGAUUAAAAUACAACUACAGGGUGGCCCAAAUCAACCGAUCACACUUUGGUAACCACUGGUUUACGUUGAAGCGCGUUUCAAGGAUCCAUGAACACGUUUCUAGGCAACAUCUAUACACUGAAAGAGGUUACACCAAAAACAAGAUAGGUAGUUACGUUUGAACUCGCCCAUCGGCUGACGUGACGUCAUCUGGAAGAAGCUAAAAAGUAGGUAAGCCAUUUCCGCAACGCUUUUUGUAUGACUGAAAUUACGUUUUUCAAUUUUUUUGGCAAAACGAAGGAGUUUGGGUGAAUUUUUAUGAAACAUAAUUUAAAGAUAAUAAAAUUUACUAUCGAUUGGUAUAUAUUUCAUUGAAUAUUGUGCAAUUAUAACGAUUUUAUGAUCAUUUUCAUUUUAGGAUUUUUACUGUACCCGAAGUUCAAAUUGAAAUUACUCAAAAUUUUCAGUGGACACAUAGGUGUUUUGAGUAACCAAAAUGUUCAGAAUUUUAUGCUCUUUAAUUUAGUCUUUUAUUUGAAGCGUUAGCUUUUAUCGUUCAAAAUAAAUGAAAGUUCAAAGUUUAAAAACAUGCCGCGCGGAGUAAAAAUUCAACUUUGAUUUGAAUUUACGCACAAAGUUUUCAAUGAACAUUGUAGGUGUUUUAAAUAACUAAAUUGUUCAGAAUUUUAUGAUUUUUUUUUAGGUUUUUGUUUUUUAUUUGAAGCGUUAGCUUUUAUCAAAGUUCAAAGUUGUAAAAACAUGCCGUGCAGACUGUAGAAUAAAAAUUCAAAUGCGAAUUGAAUUUUUUACACAAAAUUUUCAAAGAACACAAAUAACACAAUUUAGUACAUAGGUGUUUUAAAAAACCAAAGUGUUCAAAAUUCUAAUUAUGGUAUUUUAUAUGGUUUUUUAUUAGAAGCGCUAACUUUUAUCGUUCGAAAUUUAUCAAAGUUUAAAGUUGUAAAAACAUGCCAUGUGCAGUAGAAAACUAAAAAUUCAACUUGAAAAUAAAAUUGAACGAAUUUUUUUUUUUUAUCAAGCAUACGACUGAGUGCUUUAAAAACUUAAAAUUAUUAUCACUUCACCAAAAAUCCUGAAAAUUUAAUAUUUUUUAACAUGUUUUUUUAUUCGAAGCACCAACUUUCAUCAUCAUUCUAUUUCUUAAGUUAUCAAAAUUCAAUUCAAAGCUGUCAAAAAUGAAGAAAUUUCACUUUGAAUUAGAAUUACCUAAUCGAAAUUUUUAGUAAGCACACGAGUGUUUUAAAAAAUAUCUAGAAUGUUAUACUAUUUAUUUAAUAUGAUUUUUUACUCCUCAACAUUUUGGUUUUUUGAAACAUCUACGUGUCCGGUGUCCGCUGAAAUUUCGAGUAAUUUUAAUUCAAAGUGGAAUUUUUACUACGCGCGGCAUGUUAUUGUUUUCACAACCUUUGCACCUUAAUUAAUAACUAAUAGCAAUAACUUUUGAUUUUGAAUGAGAUGAAAGCCAAGACUUCUAAGUUCUAAAAUAAAAAAUAAAAAAUUACAUUAAAGAGCAUAGUUAUAAUUUCCAGCAUUUUAGUUUUUUCAUUUUUGAAACAUGUACUCAAGUGUAUACUUAUUGUGUUCGCUAAAAAUUUUGAGCAAAUUUCAAAUCAAAGUGGCAUUAUUUUAUUUAUUUAUUAAAGAGCGCAACACGCUGAACAUUUUGGUUUUUUAAAACAUCUACGUGCUUAUUAAAAAUUUUGAGUACUUAAUUUCAAUUCAAGAUUUAAUUUUACUGUGCACGGAAUUUUUUUACAACGUUGAACUUUCAUUACCGUUGAGGCUUUGAACGAUAAGAGGUGACGCUUUGAAUAAAAAAUUAUUGAAGAGCUCAAAAUUAUCAACAUUUUGGUAAGUAAGUAUCUUAAAACAGUUAAAAAACUUAUACGUUCACUGAAAAUUUUGAGUAAUUUCAAUUAAAACUUCGCAUACAGUAACAAUUCGGAAAUAAAAAUAUUUGUAAAAUCGUCAUUAUUGCACAAAAUCAGAUAAAAUUUAUACCAGUCGAUAGUAAAUUUUAAUAUCUUUAAAUUAUGUUUUAUAAAAAUUUACUCAGACCCCUUCGUCUUGCCAAAAAAAUCGAAAAACCAUAAAAAAAUUACGCGACCACCAUUAUCAUAAUGUGGAAGCUUCUUCCAAGUGACGUCACACGCCUGGUGCGGAAAGAGGGAAGCAGUCGCCCUGUUUUUUCGCGUAAAACGGGUUUUGGUGUAACCUCUUUCAGUGUAUAGAUGUUGGUGUUCGACCACUGCAACGUGUAAUUUACGGACGGAUAUGAUAACUUUGCUUACCUACUGCAUAAACAUUUUCACAACAAAAUAAUCUCUCGAUCAGGGUUGUACAAAAACGUGUUUUUUUUGAAAAAAACAAAAAAAACGUUUUUUUUUGUUUAAAACGUUUUUUUUGUUUUAAAACAGUUUUUUUCUCGUGAUUAAAACUAUGUGUUUAAAACGCGUUUUAAACACGUUUAAAAUGUGUUUUAAACACAAAUUCAUUUGUUUUGAGUUCACCAGACAUCAAUUUUUGAGAUGUGACGUCAUAAAAACGCUAUAAAGCUCAAGAAAUAUUGAAAAAUUGGAAUAAAAACACAAAAUUUGUCUCUAAAAAUACAGUUUGUUUUAUUUCACUUUUUUUCAACAAAAAAUUUAAAAAAACGUGUUUUUUUUAGGAAAUUGGAGUUGAAAAAAAACACGUUUAAAACAAAAAAAACACAGUUUAAAACGGCUUUAAACGGCUUUUUUUGUUUAAAACACUGUUCUGUUUUUUUUCACUUGUUUUAAACGUGUUUUAAACAUGUUUAAAACAUUUUUGUUUUAAACAUGUACAACCCUGCUCUCGAUGCACAGAAUUUCCUUGGCUACCGCAAUCACCGGAUUUAUCAGUUUGCAAUUUUUUCUGGGAACAUCUGAAGUCUAUAGGGUUUAUAAUAAUAAACCAUGAACCCUAGCAGACCUUUAAAAGAAUUUAUUAUUGCUGAUUUAGCAGAUUCCUCGAAGUAAUGCUGAUGAAAAUAUUCAGUAAUUUUCAAAAAUGGUUCAAAAACAUGGAAAACUUCCAAGUGGAAUUACAUUUUAACAAAUUGUUUGAGCAUCAAAUCAAAUAUACAGUCUGAAUUUGGCACAUUUUUACUUUGUUUUGAUUUUUUAAUCCAAUUUUUAGGUACAUUUUUCUUUCUCCCAUUGAGAAAACAAGUGUGAUCGGUUGAUUUGGGCCACCCUGUAGUUUGGCUCGCAGUCGCUUUGCUCUAUUUAUACUCGUAGGUGCAACGUUAGAUGCAUUUUCUGGGGAUAGCUAUGACAUUGAAACGUCAUAGAAACGUAGUAGUAGGAGUUAACACAUUACCGAACUUGCAGUUUAAGGGAGUUAUUCUAUUAAUCCUCUCUAGGGUGAUGAUUAAUUUAAUCAUCGCUUAGGCGAUGAAGGCAUAUUUCCUCAUAUCAAACUUCACCAAUCAAAAAUUUUUUUUCAUGUUUUAAAUCAAAAAAUCACAUUUUUUCCGCAAACUUUCAAUUUUUUUAAAUCGACUUUACAAAAUAUGUAAUACCAUCCCAAUUUUUUAAUAUGUUGUUCAGCAUGAAAAGUUGUCCAUAAUAUAUUUUUUUCAGAAUUUUUGAAAGUCGGAACGAUAUGAAAACUACGUUUUGAAACUUUUCGAGCUAAUUUUUCGUACGAAAAAAAGUGGCAACACUGAUUUUUAUGAUAUCACCAAAAACUAAAAAGCAUUCCAAAAUCCCUUACUGUUGGAAAAAGUUCCAUUUUGGUAAUUAUCGCGGUUAUCGAGUAAUCCACUGCUGAAAUGGAUGAUAUUUCAAGUUCACUGAAAACUUUGACACCCCCUAGCAGUCUUUAAAAAAGAACUAGAGGGCUGCAAUUUGCGCCAUUGGUCAUCCCUUCGGAAGAUCUUUCCACAGGAAAAAUUUCAAAAAAAAUUACCGACCCUCCAUACCACUUCUCGGUUGAAUUGGCGUGGAAUGACCCAGCAACAAGCUGAUUAUUGCGCGGUCCUUCUUAUUUUUUAUUGUGCAUUAAUGGUUGGUAUCUUAACACACUUGCUCUACAGAUGACUUUUCAAAUUUUGAUUGUGCUUCAGUUACUUAAGAAAGUUAAAUAAUUCCUUACCUACUUCUCUCAGUGUAAUAAGUAUGUAUAGUAGGACCCAUGCCAUAUGAGUUGGGGUUGAAUUUGUCCAACUUUUGGUUUAAAUAUUCUACCCCUAAUUUCACCAAGGUAUUCGCGUACCUUGUUCAAAACCUGUGUUUGAAGUCAUUUUUCGAGAGUAUAAUCUCUAAAAUGUAUCUCCUAGCCUUCACUAUUCUUUAAUUCUUUCUCGAGAAGGUUUCUGAAUUCGUACCCUUUAGAACCUGACGGAAUUAAUCAACAUUGUGAAGUUUCUCAAGGAUAUAAGGUAGUCCAAUAUGGACCACAUUUUUGUUUUUGAAUGUCGUGGCCGCUGUAAUUGAGCUAAAAAUUUCAUUGAUAGCUUAAAAUGUACCUAUAUAUCUAUCUACUUACAGGGUGUCUGGUGAGUGGAUGUCAAAAAUUCAAAUUUGGAUAUAUCCGGGUACGACUUGGAAAAAACGUUAAUGGACACGUUGCCUAUCUUUGAAAUUUAAGGAGCAACUGAGCUUUGAAAAAAAAAUUGUGAAAAAGGUAUUUUUGACCUUGGGAAUGAGUAGAACCUACAUUGCAAAAUAAAAAAGAAUGUUGUCAUAUGAAUAUUUUUGCCUAACUUUGAAAUUGAAGGAGCUGGAAACAUUUUAAAAGAAAAAACAUUGGAAAACGUGAUUUUGACCUUGGGAAAGGGUAGUACUUUGGAAAAUAAACGAAUUUUGUCAUUAUCAAUUUCUGCUUACCUAACUAUGAAACUGAAGAGGCCAGAAAUAUUUAUUUCUUUUUUAAAAAAUUCACAAUGACAAAAUUUGUUUAUUUUCCAAAGUGCUGCCCAUUCUCAAGCUCAAAAACAGGUUCUCUCAAUUUUUUCUUUUAAAAAAUUUCCAGCUCCUUCAAUUUCAAAAUUAGACAAAAAUUCAAUGACAGAAUUUAAUAUGUUUAUUUUCCAAAGUACAUACUAUUCAUUCGCAAGGUCAAAAAUACAUAAGUUUUUCGCAAUUCUUUUUCCAAAGAUCGGUUGCCCCUUAAAUUUUAAUGAUAGGCAACUUGUCCAUGUACGUUUUUUUCAAGUUGUAUCCGGUUAUAUCCAAAUCUGAAGUUUGGACGUCUACUCACCAGACACCCUGUAGCUACAUUUUAAGCUAUCAACGAAAUUUUUAGCUCUAUUACAGCGGCCAACUUGCUCUUUAGGUGACUUUUCAAAUUUUUUUUGUACCAAUUACUUGAAAAAGUUAAAUAGUUCCUUACCUGUUUGAAGUUAUUUUUCGAGAGCGUAUCACCUCGAUAAUGAGAGCGCAAAUUCUUGAGAUACGAUGUUUGAAGUCAUUUUCGAAAGCGUAAUGUCUCGAUAAUGAGAGCGCAAAUUCUUGAGAUACGAUUUAAAUUCUGUUUGGAGAACGUUUCUGAAUUCAUACCCUUUAGAACCUGACGGAAUUAAACAUUUCAUUGAUAGCUUAAAAUGUACCUCUACACCUAUCUACAGCGUGUCUGGUGAGUGGAUGUCAAAACUUCAGUUUUGGGUAUAACCGAGUACAACUUGAAAAAAACGUUUAUGGACACGUUGCCCACCUUUGAAAUUUAAGAGGCAACUGAGCUUUGAAAAAAAAUUGUGAAAAAGUACAUAUUGACCUUGGGAAUGAGUAGAGUAGAACCUACUUUGGAAAAUAAACAAAUUUUAUUAAUAUGAAUUUUUGCCCAACUUUGAAAUUGAAGGAGCUAGAAACAUUUUAAAAGAAAAAAAUUGGAAAAUGCGAUUUUGACCUUGGGAAAGAGUAGUAAGUACAUACUUUGGAAAAUAAACAAAUUUUGUGAUUAUGAAUUUUUACCCAACUUUGAAAUUGAAGGGGUCAGAAAUAUUUCUUUCUUUUUUAAAAUAUUUCUGACACCUUCAACUUCAAAUUUAGUCAAAAAUUCACAAUGACAAAAUUUGUUCAUUUUCCAAAGUGAUACCCAUUCUCAAGCUCAAAAACACGUUUUUCUUAAUUUUUUCUUUUAAAACGUUAACAGCUCCCUUCACUUUUAAAAUCAGGCAAAAAUUCACAAUGACAAAAUUUGUUUAUUUUCCAAAGUACUACUCAUUCCCAAGGUCAAAAAUACGUUUUUCACAUUUUUCCCCCUCAAAGCUCAAUUGUCUCUUGAAUUAUAAACAUAGGAAACUUGUCCAUGUAACGUUUUUUUCAAGUUGUACCCGGUUAUGCCCAAAUAGGUCAAUCCAUUUCGAUUUCGCUCAAUUUUUUUUACAAUAUCUAUCCACCCAGUAAGUAAAAAACCCGUAAUUAGUUUGGUCCCAGCCCCCUCAGGGGUCAGGUGGAGAAGCUUCCAUUAUUUUCACAUUGUCUCGAGGUAGGUACUCAACUUCAGCAGCGUAUUCCUCCAAAGCUAUGAUACUUUGAUCAAAACUGAUUUCACAGUUCAAAAGGGCAUUGCAUUUUGAACUUUUUAAGUAUUUUGAAAUUUUCAAAAGUUGAAAGUUGAACUUUCAAAUUGAAAGUUCAAAUUUCAAAAUAGCGCUGUAAGUGGGAGCUACCAUUUAAAAUUCUGAAGAAAUUUCCAUACAUGUACUUUUUGAUGCUUUUUCGAAAUACCUAUUCCAUUUUUGAGAUGGGAUCUUCUAAUGGAUGGGGGCACUCCCACCCCCAAAAUUUGGGCAUAACUGAUAAUAAAUUAAAUUUUAAUAAUAUUAUUAAGUUAAUCAAAAAUGAUAAUUUACUCCAUCUAGGUAGUUUAAUUUUUCAAAAAAUAGUAUAAGUGCUUUUAAAACCAAAAUAUUCUUGUGUUGUAAGCACUUUAAAAAUAAAUGUCUUGUCUUGUCUUUCAAAAUAAAUUUCAGGUCGAGUCAAUUCGGGAAAUUUCAGGUCGAGUGAAUUCGGGUGUAUCUUUCAUAUUGAUGUAAGCAUUUUCCAGUGUUUCAAUUAUGAAAAUUAUUGCACAGAAACAUCUAUUCGGCACCUGCAAAAAGAAGUUCAUGAAAUAAUUUGGAGAGAUGCUGGGGGCCGUGGAUGGGGUCCUAUUAAAAAUCUGACGUCAUGUUCGUGUUUAGCGUCACCAAAAACAUACAAUUAAAUAUAUCACAUGCCCCAGUUUUUUUUCUGAGCUUCGCCCGAAUUUUGGAGGAGGGGGUGCUUCCUCACCAGUGGAAGAUCCCAUCUCGAAAAAUGAAUAUUUAGAAAAAGCAUCAAAAGGUACAUCUGUGGAAAUUUUUUCAGAAUUUUAAAUGGUAGCUCCCACUUACAGCGCUAUUUUGAAAUUCAACUUUCAAUUUAAAAGUGCGACUUUCAACUUUUGAAAAUUUCAAAAUACUUAAAAAGUUUCAAAUUCAAUGCCUUUUUGAACCGUGAAAUCAGUUUUGAUCACAGUAUCACAGCUUUGGAGGAAUGCGCUGCUGAAUUUGAGUACCUCUAGAUAAUGUAAAAAUAAUGGUAGCCCCCCCCCACCCACCACCUGAAGGGGCUGGAGACAAGCUGAUUGCGGGUUCCUUACUUACUGGGUGGGUAAAUAUCAAAGAAAAAAUUGAGUAAAAUCGAAAGACAUGAUUCAAAAACGUUGGUCGAAUUGACAUGGAAUGACCCAAAGCUGAAGUUUUGACAUCUGCUGACCAGACACCCGGUAGAUGAUAUGUAGAUGUAGGUAGUAGGUACACUUUAAGCUAUCAACGAAAUUUUUAGCUUUAUUAAAGCGGCCAACUUGCUCCUUAGGUAACUUUUCAAAUUUUGUUUCUACUUUGAUUACUAGAGAAAGUUGAAUAAUUCCUUACCUACCGACAGUUGAAUGUAUUUUUUUCCAACUUGUUUACGUUUUAACGCGCAACGAUUAGUGAAAAAAAACACCCAAGGGAAGGAAAAAAACAACCGUACUUUUUUCUUCCCUGGUUGCUUCUCUCCUUCCCCAGGUAAGGAGAAAAGCAAUCAAGUAUUUUGUUAAUUGUGUACGUAAAUCGGUUUGUUUCAUUGCAUUUAUUAUGAAAAAUAUCUUACAAUGCAAGAAUCGAACUGUUGUAUAGUAAUACAUAUUAUAUACUAUUUUUCAAAAAAAGGGACGUCUGUACUCACAAUUUUAAAUAAUCCAUCAUAAUUUUCCAAAUCUGGGAACAGGGCCAUUUCGAAUUUUGCAGUGGAACUAAAAAAAUCCAAUUUUCCAAUUUUUCGUAAUUUCGAUAUUUUGGGAACCCCUGGAAAACUAGAAACCUGCGAUUUGCGCCAAACGUACCGUUUUGAGGUAAGUACAUAUAUUCAAUAAUCUAGAUGAAAAAGUUUAAUUAAGCUCCCUGUACCUAUGUGUACUUUUGAUCCUUUUUUUGAGAGCCCCUUCCUCCCUUUUGGCACCUCUAAAAAAGGCGUUUAUGCAUAUUUUUUCUAAUAAAUUGAAGAAUUUACAUAUGACACACACUAGCAAGAGCUCGAUAAUUUUUCAUGUAAUUUUCCUUGUAACUUUUAUAAUUGAGCUAUUCUGGGUCAAAUUCUGAGAUUUAACUCUACGAAAAAACGUCAAAAUCACGUUUUCACGAUUUCAACGAAGUGAAAAUCUCAGAAUUUGACCCAAAAUAGCUCAAUUUUGAAAGUUACAGGUAAAAUCUUAUGAAAAAUUAUCGAGCUCUUGCUAGCGUGUUUCAAAUCUAAUUUCUUUAAUUUAUUAGAAGAAAAAUAAUGAAUAAAAGCCUUUUUUAGGGGUUCCUAAAGGGAGGGAGGGGGCGAGGGGCUCUAAAAAAAGGAUCAAAAGUAUACACAUACAGGGAACUUAAUUAAAGUUUUUCAUCUAGAUUAAUGAAUAUAAUAUAUGUACCUCAAAACGUUAUGUUUGGCGCAAAAAUCACAGGUUUCUAGUUUUCCAGGGGUUCCCAAAAUACCAAUCGCAAAUAUGAAAAAUUGGAAAAUUGGAUUUUUGAGUACCAGCGCAAAAUUUUAUUGAGCUCAAAAUUUGGUAGGAUGGAGGUCUUUCAGAUACUAAUAAAUUGUAGAAAACUUUCUAGCAGGGUUCAAAGGGGUAGGUUCAAACUGGAGGUUCCAAAAUUAGUUUUUGAAAAUGGUACUCAGCGGUUCCUAAAAUUCUUUUUUUUUCACAACUUUGGGAACCCCUGGAGCCCAACAAAUUGUCAUACGGAUUUGUAUUUGGGGCAUUUAUUAAAAAAUUUUUCAGAGUGGUUGAGUCGACAAAACUUCAGAUUCGGAUAUAACCGGGGACAACUUGAAAAAGACGUUAUGGACACGCUGUCUAUCCUUAAAAUUUAAGGUGCAACUGAGCUUUGAAAAGCAAAAUUGUGAAAACCGUAUUUUUGACCUUGGGAAUGAGUAGAACCUACUUUGGAAAAUAAACAAAAAUGUUAUCAAUAUGAAUUUUUGCUCAACUUCGAAAUUGAAGGAGCUAGAAACAUUUUGAAAGAAAAAAUUGGAAAACGUGAUUUUCACCUUGGGAAAGGGUAGUAAGUACUUUGGAAAAAAAAACAAAUUUUGUCAUUGUGAAUUUUUGCCUAACAUUGAAAUUGAAGGGGCCAGAAAUAUUUGUUUCUUUUUUAAAAUAUUUCUGACACCUUCAACUUGAAAUUUAGUCAAAAAUUCACCAUAACAAAAUUUGUUUAUUUCCCAAAGUUCUGCCCAUUCUCAAGCUCAAAAACACGUUUUUCUCAAUUUUUUCUUUUAAAACAUUUCCAGCUCCUUCAAUUUCUAAGUUAGGCAAAAAUUCGUUAUGACAGAAUUUGUUUAUUUUCUAAAGUACUUACAUACUACUCAUUCGCAAGGUCAAAAAUACAUACGUUUUUCGCAAUUCUUUUUCAAAAGAUCGGCUGCUCCUUAAAUUUUGAUGAUGGGCAACUUGUCCAUAAACGUUUUUUUCAAGUCGUAUCCGGUUAUAUCCAAAUCUGAAGUUUUGACAUCUACUCACCAGACACCCUGUAGGUGCAUUUUAAGCUAUCAGCGAAAUUUUUAGCUCUAUUACAGCGGCCAACUUGCUCUUUAGGUAACUUUUCAAAUUUUUUUGGUACCAAUUACUUAAGAAACUUAAAUAGUUCCUUACCUGUUUAAAGUCAUAGCGUUAAGUCUACCAGGAGAAGGCAAAUCUUGAAUGACGAUUUCAAUUCGGUUUGGAGAACGUUUCUGAAUUCAUACCCUUUAGAACCUGACGGAAUUACCUAAUCAAUUUUGUGUAGUUUCUUAAGGGUAUAAAAUAACCCAAUAUGGACCACAUUUUUGUUUUUGAAUGCCGUGGCCGAUGUAAGUAAUUGAGCUAAAAAUUUCGUUGAUAUGUAGCUUAAAAUGUACCUACAUCUAUCUAUAGUAUCAUAUUAUGUAUUCCAAAAGCGUGAAAUUGUUGAAAAAAUUCAACUGGGGCAAAUAAAUUGUUUUCUGAAAAGUGUCAAAAAUGGAAAAGUAACAUUUUUUGGAUUCCUAAUAUGGACCACUUCAAAAUUUCAACAAAAAAAAGCGCGCUACAAUGUUGUACAAAUUUUAUUUAUCGCUGAAACAACGUUAAAAUAGGUACAUAAUUAUGUUUAAUCAAGACAAUAAGAGCAAAAAUUCUAUUUGGGUCAGUCAAGUGAAUUUUUUUCCUGAGGUCAAAAUUUUGAAAAGUCAAUUUUGGGUCCCUAAUAUGGACCACUUCAACUUGAUACUGUAUAGUGUAUAACCCAUAGCAAAUAUACAAAUGGUCCAUAAUUGGCCACCCUGUAAGUUUGAUUUUUGAAAAAUCAGAACUAAACGUAGGUAUAUCUUGAAUAAAUACUUUAAUAGAUAAGUACAUAUUACAAUUGCUUUGAAAAUCGUCAGGCUUCUUAAUAUAGUAAAAUGAUUGAACAUAACAUUAUAACCUUUUCCAGACAAAUUUUUCACAAACAGCAAUUUAAAAAUGCGCAUGAAAAAAUUUCAACCUUAUCAAUUUCGUUUUUUCCCUUUAACUUUGCGGUUUUUGGCUUUAAGACUGUGAUUUUGGUUUCAUUGUUUUUUUGUUUUUUUUUUUUUGUGGAAAAUGCACUAGAUUAAGUUUGUUCCCGGCAGUUGGGGAUCAUAACCAGCUAAAUCGGCUAGGCUGAUAGUCCGGUUUUGGCAGUAGGCCAUAAAAUGCUACUUUAACCUUAUCUAUGCACAGAUGACGAUGAAUACCUAAUAGAAAAUAAUGAUUUUGAACGUUGUCUCAAAAUAAAGGUUCGUGUCAUAAUAGUAAAAUAAUACCUAGGUAUCGAUAGAUCACAUAGAUACCUACCAUCGCCUAAACUAAAUAGGUAUUUUUUUAAAUUGUAAAUAAAUUGUAGGUAGAUACAUAAAGCUACCAACGGUAUUUAAUGAUAUUUACUUCAUUAAAUUGUUAACAUUUUCUUCUUGUAUGUUCAUUUCUCUUUCCUUGGAACAUUUUUCAGCAAGAUAACAUUUGUGAUCGUCUGCUAUUUAAUCGA